rnacentral:tRNA from 1 species
GUCUUGGUGGCUUAGUUGGUUAAAGCGUCGGUCUCAUAGUGUGACCGGUUCUUCAUAAGAGUUGGAUAUACAAAGGUCGAGGGUUCGACUCCCUCUUAGGACA